UUACCGCCACAACGGCUUCCUGACGUGGCGGAACAACAUAAUCGGAGCA
rfam:Thalassobacter arenae DSM 19593 genomic scaffold Contig343, whole genome shotgun sequence.